UGUUGGCGCACCUUGCAGGGCAGCAAAGAAAAAGGAAGCAACACAAAGGAGAUACACCGCCAAAAUAAGUUAAAUGUUAAAUAAGCAAGAUCAUAAAGAAAGGCAGAAGCCAUGACUAAGAAGAAACCAAGAAAUACCUCUUAAGUAGUAAGCAGUGGACGAGUUCUCACGGGUUGGUUGGAGCCGAAAAUAAACCCCGUAUUUAAACACGACCUCGGGCCUCGUGUACUACUUGGGAGCUACAGUGAGAACUCGACUGCUCUGCAUGAGUAGCCGAGGAGGACGUCACCAGACGGCAGCAGCCGAGAAGAGACGAACCAUAUCCAUGCUGCGUGUGUAUCUCCUACCACCACCUACGCCGAAACACAAGAAGAGCAAGCCCACAGGAAGGCCCAGGUGCCCCUAGUGUGAAUAUUGCUGCUAAGAAAAAACUUGUGUUUUGCACAAGAGACUGAUAUAUUAUCUACAUUUUCAUUUAAUAAGUUGAUGUUGUUAUUUUCUACAACUAAAGGACUUUAAGUGUUUUGCACAAGAGACUGAGAUAUAAUGUGCAUUUCAUUUAUGUUGUUUACUUACCUUUCCUUAUUGAAGACCAUUGAUACUCACACUGUGUUGAUAUUGAGAAUUUGUUUAUUGAUGGUUACACUGUAAAAAUUCUGUUAAAACAA